GCCUUCGUGGUGUAAUGGUCAGCACACUGAGCCGGUAUUUCAGAGGUCCGUGGUUCGAUUCUCGGCUAAGGAA
rnacentral:tRNA from 1 species